rnacentral:rRNA from 1 species
UUUAAUCGAAACUGCGAAUGGCUCAUUAUAACAGUGAUAAUUUAUGCGAAUAUGAUUGCUACACGGAUAACUGUGGUAAUUCUGGAGCUAAUACGUGAGUGCCUUCAUCGGCGGUUCACAUAUUAGAUAAAAACCAAACGCGCAAGCGGUAUUGGUGAUCCAUAAUAACGUGAUAAAUCGUUUUAAACGGUGUUUCGCUUAAGUUUCUGACCUAUCAGCUGUUGAUGGUAGGGUAUUGGCCUACCAUGGCAAUGACGGGUAACGGGGAAUUAGGGUUUGAUUCCGGAGAGGGAGCUUGAGAGAUG